GAUGAACGCUGGCGGCGUGCCUAAUACAUGCAAGUCGAGCGAACAGACGAGGAGCUUGCUCCUCUGACGUUAGCGGCGGACGGGUGAGUAACACGUGGAUAACCUACCUCUUAGACUGGGAUAACUUCGGGAAACCGGAGCUAAUACCGGAUAAUAUAUUGAACCGCAUGGUUCAAUAGUGAAAGACGGUUUUGCUGUCACUUAUAGAUGGAUCCGCGCCGCAUUAGCUAGUUGGUAAGGUAACGGCUUACCAAGGCGACGAUGCGUAGCCGACCUGAGAGGGUGAUCGGCCACACUGGAACUGAGACACGGUCCAGACUCCUACGGGAGGCAGCAGUAGGGAAUCUUCCGCAAUGGGCGAAAGCCUGACGGAGCAACGCCGCGUGAGUGAUGAAGGUCUUCGGAUCGUAAAACUCUGUUAUUAGGGAAGAACAAAUGUGUAAGUAACUAUGCACGUCUUGACGGUACCUAAUCAGAAAGCAACGGCUAACUACGUG
rnacentral:rRNA from 1 species